rnacentral:rRNA from 1 species
CAGCCGUAAACAAUGUGCGUUAGGUGUGUCGGUAACCACGCGUUACUGAUGCGCCGAAGAGAAAUCGUGAAACGCACCACCUGGGAAGUACGGUCGCAAGGCUGAAACUUAAAGGAAUUGGCGGGGGAGCACCACAACAGGUGGAGCCUGCGGUUUAAUUGGAUUCAACGCCGGACAUCUCACCGGAUAAGACAGCUGAAUGAUUGUCAAUCUGAAGGUUUUACAUGUCUAGCUGAGAGGUGGUGCAUGGCG